AUGCGACUAUGCUUAUCUAAAGUACAUACAAUGCAUACUGUGGAAUCAUACAUCAAAUAUUCAUACUUAACUAAAUAUUCUGCAAGUUUUGUUUGCCGCUGCUCGGUCAAGAAAAGCCUAUUGCUCGCCACUAUGUGCGGUUCUCUGCCAUUUCAUGGGGUGCAACCGGAAGUGGCACAAGACUGUAGUUGUGUCGUUCUUAAAUUUACUGAUGUUGAUGUUUCUUUUCAAGAUUGUAGUAUUGUUUACCAAUUUGGUCCCCGGGUUAUGUACUCAUUUCCUUUUCUAUUAUUUGUAAGUAAUUUGCUUCGGUUCAUCGAACUACCUGCUGAAAUAUGUGUAUUAUUUCUCAAUAUAUUGGGCAUCAAUCCACCUCUCAUGAGAUCUCUGAAUUUUCGACGCAUAUUGUAUUUGCUGAAUUAUUUCCUCCAGAUAACUAUGCUUUGA
rnacentral:rRNA from 1 species